AGACUCCUGGCCUGGGACUGUACGACAGAGAGGGCCAGUGACCCCCAUUUGUGUUUACUGUACUUCUACAGACACAUGUUGGUGUGAUGGGGGCAUUCACUUUCUCAGGUUCAGGCCAAGGUCAGGCCAGAACAUGGACCAAAUCUAUUUUCUCUGUCUCUCUGUGUAAACUGCUCAGGCUGUAGCCCAAAGAGGGCCCCUGAGUUCACUAACUGAGUGUAUUUUGAGGGAUUUAAGACUAAGACAGUAAACAGAAAGGGUGGAGAAGGACCUUCUCAGUCCGUAUCUGAUUUCAUGUGCUCAUCCCAUGUGUGGCAGAUACAGAGGCUCCAGGGAAGAUGCCUGAAGGAGCUGACAUGACAGUGAUGGGACAUCUUGCCCCAGGAGGCUGCCUCCAGCAACUCUGACACACUCCUGAAGGCUGUGAAAUGCAAGUAUUGCUGAGUUAUCCUUGUGUUCCUGUCCUUCAUCUGGUUCAUUUGCAGGAGGGAAUAAUGAUCUGUCACCAAG